GUUUUAUCGGAAAAAUGCACGAAUCGUAAAAAGUUGCUCGAAACUUCGACGAGCGAAGGAAGAGAACGUACUAAAGUGAUGAUGAGAACGCUCAGAGAAUUCUCGCUCUGCUGAGGGUUCUCAUUCUUAUCUCAGCUAAAUCAAAGGACCCGAAAAGCUCUGAGGGCUGAAAGAAUCAAAGAGGAUUCAUUCAAUUUAAUGGACCCCUUUGUUGGAAAAGCAUCGACAGCUGCGUGGAAUUUUCUUCGUUGCUUUUCGACCUAUCGAUAACUCGAUGAAACAGAAGGAAACAAAAGAGUUUUCCUCGGUCCUUCAACGGAAAAUGUUUGUCCCAAGAGUGUGUGUAGGCAGACAUUCAUCUUUUCGUCCCUGGGUUAGUUGACUCCUUCAAAAAGGAGCAAGUAUAUUUGGAGUGAAGGGAAGAAAAGAAGAAAAAGGAGGAAAAGUAAGAGAGAAAACGAAAGAAAGUUGCGACAGCACCAAGAGGUCGUUGCGUCUGUGUCGUCCAAUUGGGAAUUAGUCCUUUUUUCACCCUGGAGCUUUGAACGCAGCGCCAGAGGCACUGGGCAGAGCUUAUUUUUUGGAC